GACGAACGCUGGCGGCGUGCUUAACACAUGCAAGUCGAACGGAAAGGCCCUGCUUUUGUGGGGUGCUCGAGUGGCGAACGGGUGAGUAACACGUGAGUAACCUGCCCUUGACUUUGGGAUAACUUCAGGAAACUGGGGCUAAUACCGGAUAGGAGCUCCUGCUGCAUGGUGGGGGUUGGAAAGUUUCGGCGGUUGGGGAUGGACUCGCGGCUUAUCAGCUUGUUGGUGGGGUAGUGGCUUACCAAGGCUUUGACGGGUAGCCGGCCUGAGAGGGUGACCGGCCACAUUGGGACUGAGGUACGGCCCAGACUCCUACGGGAGGCAGCAGUGGGGAAUAUUGCACAAUGGGCGGAAGCCUGAUGCGGCAGCGCCGCGUGCGGGAUGACGGCCUUCGGGUUGUAAACCGCUUUCGCCUGUGACGAAGCGUGAGUGACGGUAAUGGGUAAAGAAGCACCGGCUAACUACGUG
rnacentral:rRNA from 1 species